GACCUCAAAUCAGGUAGGGCUACCCGCUGAACUUAAGCAUAUCAAUAAGCGGAGGAAAAGAAACUAACAAGGAUUCCCCUAGUAACGGCGAGCGAACCGGGAUGAGCUCAAAUUUGAAAUCUGGCGCCCUCCGGACGUCCGAGUUGUAAUCUAUAGAAGCGUUUUCCGUGCCGGACCGUGUCCAAGUCCCUUGGAACAGGGUAUCAAAGAGGGUGACAAUCCCGUACUUGACACGACGACCGGCGCUCUGUGAUACGUUCUCUACGAGUCGAGUUGUUUGGGAAUGCAGCUCAAAACGGGUGGUAAAUUCCAUCUAAAGCUAAAUAUUGGCGAGAGACCGAUAGCGAACAAGUACCGUGAGGGAAAGAUGAAAAGCACUUUG
rnacentral:rRNA from 1 species